rnacentral:rRNA from 1 species
UACGGAGGGUGCGAGCGUUGUCCGGAAUCACUGGGCGUAAAGGGCGCGUAGGCGGUCUGCUAAGCGUGCGGUGAAAGCCUGGGGCUCAACCCCAGGUCUGCCGUGCGAACUGGUGGACUUGAGCACUGUAGAGGCAGGUGGAAUUCCGGGUGUAGCGGUGGAAUGCGUAGAGAUCCGGAAGAACACCAGUGGCGAAGGCGGCCUGCUGGGCAGUUGCUGACGCUGAGGCGCGACAGCGUGGGGAGCAAA